rnacentral:rRNA from 1 species
GUAGGGAAUAUUGGGCAAUGGUCGGAAGACUGACCCAGCCAUGCCGCGUGCAGGAAGACGGCCCUCUGGGUUGUAAACUGCUUUUAUCUGGGAAGAAAAAGGCCAUGCGUGGCAAAUUGCCGGUACCAGAUGAAUAAGCACCGGCUAACUCCGUGCCAGCAGCCGCGGUAAUACGGAGGGUGCGAGCGUUGUCCGGAUUUAUUGGGUUUAAAGGGUGCGUAGGCGGCUGAUUAAGUCAGCGGUGAAAGACUUCGGCUUAACCGGAGCAGUGCCGUUGAUACUGGUUGGCUUGAGUGUCGGAGGGGUACAUGGAAUUGAUGGUGUAGCGGCGAAAUGCAUAGAUACCAUCAGGAACACCGAUAGCGAAGGCAUUGUACUGGCCGACAACUGACGCUGAUGCACGAAAGUGUGGGGAUCGAACAGGAUUAGAAACCCCAGUAGUCC